AGACACACCAGAAGAGGGCAUCACAUUACAGAUGGUUGUGAGUCACCAUGUGGUUUCUGGGAUUUGAACUCAGGACCUCUGGAAGAGCAGUCAGUGCUCUUAACCGCUGAGCCAUCUCUCCAGCCCAACUGGCUGCUUUUUUUUAGAGGACCCACUUUUGAUUCCCAGCACCCACAUAGUGGCUCACAGCCAUCUGUGACUCUAGCUCCCAGGGAAUCCAACACCUUUUUCUGGCCCAUGUGGGGACAAGGCACGUAGACAUACCUACAGACAAAAAACAACAAGUAGAUAUUAUAAUAAAAAAUACAAAUGUAAAAUAAAGCAAUAAAAAGAAAUUAUUAGCGUAUUAGGAAUCUAGUCGUUUGUUGAGUGAGUGCUCCUUUGAACAUAGGUAAUCACAUGGAUCCAGCACCUGAUCCCCAAGAUUGAGGACGGAAAUGAUUUUGGGGUGGCAAUUCAGGUAAGAACUGGUGACUGGAGACAGACUGGGAAGAGACUUGAGAGGGAGGGAGGGAAACAAGGCGAUAACCAGGAGGUAGGAGAAAGAAACCACAAAGGGGAGAUGAAGUAUUGUCUUUGCUUCUCACGUCACUGCAGGAGAAGGUGCUGGAGAGAGUGAAUGCUGUCAAGACCAAAGUGGAAGCCUUCCAGACAGCCAUCUCCAAGUGAGAGCAGCUGCAGGAACACGGGGACCCUGCAGGGCACCCCCUUAGGGUUCUCCAAUCGAGGCCGUUCUUUCAGAAUGAUGGGAGACGGGUGUGG
rnacentral:lncRNA from 1 species